AAACAUUUAAGCGCACACUCGACAAAUUUGCGAUCUGGCACAAUGGGACAGAGACGGAGGGCAGGACAGGACCGAUCUGAUGGCCGGCAGAUACACCACUUCCCCAGCUGCCGCGGAUUCCGAUUCCUCAUUUCUGAUUCUCCAUUCCCGAUUCCAAAUCCUCGAUUCCGAGCGGGGGAUCUGCAGUAGGAGGAGUAGGAGGAGGAGCCCACAUACGGCGCAGCUGUACGAUAUCGGCAAUCGUGUAAUUGUAGAUUGUAUCCACCGAGUGGCAGCCACCAACAGCGAUGGCAUGCCAUCCACUUCUUGCAGCGUUUGCAUGAACUUGAACUUGCUCCAGCGAUCAGAGGCGCAGUGGUGGAGGAGGAGGAGGAGGAUGAGGAGGAGAAGGAGGCGGCGGGCGCGAGACCAUGUGACAUGUGAUGGACACUGCUCCCUACUUCCCCAAUUUUCCGAAAACGAGUUCGCGCUGUGGACAUUAAAGUGACGCUCGUUCCGAUCCGCUCCGUUCCGUUCCAAACCGUUCGAGGCAAAAAUCGAUGGCCUAAGCACAGCAAACAUGAGGAAUGGCCCAUCCCAGAGCGAAAAGUGGGGAGCAAACAAAGGGCAGCAGAAGCAUAUAAACAAUGAUAUCGAAUUACCAGAGUUUCGUAGUUCUGCCCCCCAUCUCUGGCGGCUCUGCAACACUUAUUAACACAUACAAACGGACAGCGCCCACUCUUGUCCCGUCCCAUCUCCCAUUCCCAUCCCCAUCCCCAGUCCACAUCCACAUCUACAUCCCUGUCCGCAUUUCCAGUGAUU
ensembl:ncRNA lncRNA:CR44204 long non-coding RNA:CR44204